GAUGAACGCUAGCGGCAGGCCUAACACAUGCAAGUCGAGGGGUAGAGUUCUUCGGGACUUGAGACCGGCGCACGGGUGCGUAACGCGUAUGCAAUCUACCUUAUACAGGGGAAUAGCCCAGAGAAAUUUGGAUUAAUGCCCCAUAGUGUUAUCGAAUCGCAUGGUUUGAUAACUAAAGUUCCAACGGUAUAAGAUGAGCAUGCGUCCCAUUAGUUAGUUGGUAAGGUAACGGCUUACCAAGACAAUGAUGGGUAGGGGUCCGUGAGAGGGAGAUCCCCCACCACUGGUACUGAGACACGGACCAGACUCCUACGGGAGGGCAGCAGUGAGGAAUAUUGGUCAAUGGGCGGCAAGACCUGAACCAGCCAUGCCGCGUGUGUGAAGAAGGUCUUC
rnacentral:rRNA from 1 species